AUGACCACUUGGAGAGAUUUCCAUGAAUGCCUAAUGGAUUGUGGGCUCGAAGACUUAGGCUAUACCGGGGACCUUUUCACUUGGAGGAGAGGCAAAAUACGUGAGCGUCUUGAUCGUGCGGUCUGUAAUUUAGCGUGGGCAAAUAAAUUUCCACGAGCGGCAGUGAUCAACGAAGAACAUGUUCACUCUGACCACCACCCAAUUGUACUGGGCAUGGAUUAUUUGGAUGAAAAGAUCUUUAAACGACGGGGCGUGUUAAACAAUUUGAGGCGAGGUGGUUGA
rnacentral:rRNA from 1 species